AAAGACAUCAUUUGCUACAAACCAAACAUCUUCGAAGGGCUUGGAUGUGGCAAAGGGCUACCUUGCCGUCUAUGUAGGAGAGAGACUGAAGCGGUUUGUAAUCCCUGUAUCAUUCUUGAACCAACCUUUAUUUCAAGACUUGUUGAGUCAAGUGGUGGAAGAAUUUGGAUAUGAUCACCCAAUGGGUGGUCUCACAAUUCCUUGUGGAGAAGAUGUGUUCUUGGAUAUCACUUCUCGCUUGAUGAGGUGCUAAUCCAUGAAGAUGAGACUAGUGUAAAUGUAUAGACACAAUUUUUGUAACAUAGUUUCUUACCUUGGAAAAGAUUCUGUCCAUUUUUAUUAUCUUUCUUGAGACAGUAUACAAAUUUUAUGAGAAAUUUCCUACAUGAAGAGUUUUCUCACAUAUUUUCUUCAUCUAUCAUUCUGGUCUGCAUAUUUCUCGAAUAAGAAAUUAGCUAGUUGUCGCUAACCAAAUAAUUCUUAAUGUACCAGAUUUAAAUUCAGCUAUUAUCUCUAAAUUUAUAACUAAGUUCAAUAAAAAAAAACUAUAUUAGGAGAAAGGAAAAGAAGAUAAGUUUCAAACAAAAUGACAGAUCCAAUGGAGAAACAAAGAGAAAAAGUCAUUGAAAUAAUUAGUAUUUGUCAACCUAUUACGUAUAACCUAUUACGUAUGAGGGAGGACCCAAUUCUUUACGAUAAGCAAUUCUUCUGAUGUAGUUAAUUCUUUGUCCUGUAACAUCUUCAUAUAUGUGAGUCAAGCAGCAACACAUUCUUGGCAUGAUUUAUGUUAGUUGGUUUUACGGCAUAACCUGGUAGUGACAAGUUCUCCAUUAAUUAUUCUUCAAACCUUGAACUAUUUUAAGAUAUUACAAUCUUUUUUUUGGAUGAAAAUAGAAAUUAAGCAUCUUAAUCCUGGAAUGGGGAUUGUUGCCCUAGUUUGAAAUUUGGGAUCUCAAAAUGAUGCAAGGACAAGCAAUUGCCCUGCUUUUUUGUUGGGUAUAAUUGUGAAAUGAAAAUGGAAUAAAAAGUGAGGUUUUGCCCCAAUGAAAAUUUAAGGGGGUGGAACCACAUGGUGAUGGAUGAGAUGAAGUAAUUUCUCCCUGUUUUCUUUCUUCUGUAAUGUUUGUUUAACAAUUAAAACAACCAAAAUAGAUAAUCUCAUCCUCUUAUAAAAUGGAAAUUAUGCUCAGAAUCUAUAUAUAAAUAAACAAAACCUUCAAUCAAAUGCAUAUGAAAUUUCUAUAACAAGGGAUAUUAUCCAUCAAAUUGAAAAACAGCAAAACUUAUUUUUUCAAGUCCAUUAUAACUGUCUUGGCAGGUGCAAAAUCUCAUGAACGGGACCAUCAGUUUUGAUUUUAAAUGUGUAUAAAAUACUUAUAAACCUUUCAAACACGUUCUAAAGAAAUUGAUGCUUCUCCUCGGCCCUAGCAAAAUACUAAUAUCUCUGCCCCCUCUCUGCCUUGUCUUCAUUGUGAAGCACUACUUCGUUUUAUAAUGAAAUUUACCAGAAUAAUCGAGUUCUUUUAGUGUUGCAACCAUUCUAAUUGUUCGGAGAAGUAAAACUUGAAAUGGAUAAAUAGAUAGAAAAUUAGAAUUUGAAUUCAUCACCAAUACUCAAAAUUUGGUAAUAAUAGUUACAAGUUCAAGAAGAUGUCUAUUGUACAAAAUGUCUCUAACAAUCUAUGUCAGUCUUCUAAAGUGAGAUCUAUUGUCUCUUGAAGCAAGAAAUUGUAUGUUGGAAGACAUCUUCGCUGCAAGGAAUUGUGAGGCCACCCAUGGGAUGAUCAUAUCCAAACUCUUCCUCAGCCUGACUCAGUAAGUCCUGGAACGAAGGUUGGCUCAAGUAUGAGAUGGGAAUCACAAACCGAUUUUGUUUCUCUCCAACAUACACGGCAAAAUAGCCCUUUGGUAUGUCUUCAGAUUUUGAAGUUGCUUGUCUUGCUGUCAAUGAUGCCCGUCGGAUGGCUGGUAAACGGAAACCCAUUUUUUGAGCUUGUUUGAAGGAAGAAGAACAAUCUCAAAUAUACAGAUAGUGAACCCAAAUUUGAUGGUUGAGGAUUCCAAAGGCUUGUGUUGUUUUUGAAGGUAUAGGAUAGUGUAUAUAUAGCUGUUAAAAGAAGGACGGCAUUCAGAUGAGAUAUCGCGUGGUGUUGUCUUCAGUACUUCUAUGAAACAUAAAGAAGAGUACAGGUGUGUAACCCCACCUUGUUCAACAACAGGCAACAUUAAGCCUCCACAUGCACCAAAUGAGACGUGGCUAAGUGAAGGCCUAAGUCUCUUCAUGCAUUAAUUGGUAUUACAUAUUAUGUCAAACAUGCUUUGGACAUGUUUUCUUCACAUCACCUAAUGUUGAAGAACAGCUGGAUAGAUGAAAUUAUAAGCCAAUGGACAGCGAGAGAUGAUAGACCAUUAUAUACAUGAGACUUGAAAUCAUACGUCUAAUCUAUUUCAAGUGGAUUGACUUGGGAUAGUGUACUAUCGACUGUAACAUCACCCAUUACUCCCAAAGAAACACUUCCAAGACAACACCAUAUGCUCUAUCGGUCCCAUGAUUCUUAUCUCAUAACCCUUCCACCCUCAAUCAUUCAAGUAGCCGACGAUUUCCUACAGCCUUUUUCAUCUAUAUAUAUUCACGGCUGCAAGCAUUUAGGGCAACAAAAAUCAUUCACAUCCUAAAGCAUUUUAACUUCAAAAACUAGCUUCUUCCUUACAACUCUCUUUUCUCUACUUUCUCUUCCCAAGUAUCAGCAACAUAUAAAACAUGGGUUUUCGUUUACCUGGUAUCAGAAAGGCCUCCCUUCCUUCAAUCCAAGCAUUUUCAAAAGCUGUGGACGUGCCAAAGGGUUACAUUGCAGUCUAUGUCGGAGAUAAAAUGAAGCGGUUCAUGAUCCCUGUAUCUUACGUGAACCAACCUUCAUUUCAAAAUUUGUUGAGUAAAGCUGAGGAAGAAUUUGGGUAUGAUCAUCCACUGGGUGGUCUCACAAUUCCUUGUGGAGAAGAUGUGUUCUUAGAUAUCACUUCUCGCUUCAAUAGAUGUUAAGUGCAUGAAGAUGGAACUGACUUAGAUGUAGACUAUAUACUUGACACAAUUUUGUAUUGUAGUGUCCUACCUUGAAAAUAUUCUUUCUCUCCUCUUUGAUAUCUCACUUUGUAAAAGAAAUUUCAUUUGAAAUAGAAGUUUGGGAACACUUACAGUUUUCUCAUUUUCUCCUCUCUUAUAUAUAUAUAUAUAUAUAUAUAAUCCAAUGCUAAUAAGCUGAAAUGUUCCGUUCAGAAUCAUCGUGUAGCAGCACCAUACAUGACAACUAUUCACCCAUAUGACGAUGCCUGAUUUAGUUAUGAUUAACGAAAUUUGAUCACCUCUGUUUCAAGCAGCAGCCCCUUCUUCACAUGGGCUAUUCAACAUAUUAUAGUUGGUUUUAGGACCAGAAUAUAAGAUAAGUUUGAUUGAAAUACAUUGAUAGUGUUUUUUAAAGAUUAUUUAAUCAUAGAUUGACACAUAAUUGAAAAUAUAUUAAAAUCCAUGCAUUUUGUUGCCAAUGUAGUCUGCUACACAACUCUCCGAAACACAGGUGCUAUCCAAAGAGCACAAACCUCCACCAGACACUCAUAAAUGUGUGAGCUGAAGGCAAAGCCUAAAUCUUCCAAAAAGUUGUUAUACAAACUCGAGGAAUCCCCCUCUACCGAACCCUUUAAAAAACCAUUCACAGAGUUAACUGAAUAAUCUGUGUUACCUCCAUCCUUCCAGACCCAUUUAUCCUCGAUAUCAAGAAAGGGACUCGAAAAUUGCACAACCCCCAGAAGCUGACUAACCUGUUCCAUUUCCCAAGCAAAAAGACCUCUUCUCCAAGCCAAGUCUCACACCCAAACAUUAUUAACCCAAUCCCCACAAAGAGAAAGCUUAGCGUCUUUGAUCAUUGACAAUGAAAAAAAGCCUUAGGAAAGAUCUUUUCAAGCUGCCAGGACCCAACCAACUAUCUUCCCAAAAAGGUAACUCCUUCCCGUUUGCAAGCUUCCACCUAAAACGAUUUUCAAAGGACAUUCUCCAAACUUCCUACUUCCAGACCGCUUUCAAAUCUCUCCACCAGAGUGACUCAUAAUUGCAAAGUCGUUGCUCUUUGAGGUUUCCCCACCCACCAUAUUUAGACUCUAGAAUGUCCUUCCAGAGUCUUCCCUUAAUCUGACUCGGACGCCAUAUACAUUUUCCCAGUAAGGCCAAAUUAAAGAGCCUAAUAUUAAGGAUGCGAAGACCGCCUGCUUCCUGAGACUCACACACCUUGUCCCAAGACGCUCAGUCAAUUUUCCUCCCCUCGGAUCCCUAGUCCCACAAAAAGUUCCUUUGUAGCUUCACAAUCUUCUUCACAACAGUGGCAGACAUCUUGAACAAAGAUAAAUAGAACAAUGAUAUAGACGAAAGAACAAACUUGAUCAAGCAAAUCCUCCCAGCCAUUGAGAGAAAUCUCCCUUUCCAAGAACUCAAUCUAGUAUUGAUUCUGUCAACUACACCGUCCCAAAAUGCGCUCCUCUUCUGACACCCCCCAAUUGGCAACCCCAAGUACUUGAAAGGGGUUUUCGUCACUUCGCAAUUCAGAAUAGACGCAAAUCAGAGAAUAGCUUUCUGAUUGACCCCCACCCCACCAAUUCUGCUCUUCGAGAAAUUCACCUUCAGACCAAAAGCUAGCUCAAAGCAAUUCAACAUAACCCUAAGGUUGUACACACUUUUAAUGCUGGCAGCGCAAAAAACAAGGUGUCAUAUGCAUAUUGAAGCAUAUUAACCUUAACCUUCUUGUACCCAACCUCAAGGCUCUCAAACAAGUUUUUGUCAACAACAUUCCUAGACACCCCGACAAGUCCUUCAGUUGCAAUAAGAAACAAAAAUGGUGCUAACGGAUCUCCUUGCCUCAAGCCUUUCUUCGGAGUAAACUCCUUAGUCGGGCUACCAUUUACUAGUACAAACACCGUCGCGGAUUCCAAACAAGAUUUAAUCUAGGAAAUCCACUUCUCGCAAAACCCAAGUUUGUCUAUCAUGUAAAAGAUAAAUUCCCAACGCACAGAGUCAUAUGCCUUCUCAUAAUCCACCUUAAAAAGACACAACUUUUCUUUUUCUGCUUCACCUCCUCCAACACUUCAUUACCCACUAAAACACUAUCAAGUAAACAUCUUCCUUCGAGGAAAGCAUAUUACCUAAGAUUAAUGAAUUUAUUCAGCACUUAGAAAUAAUCUUGUAUAUGCACCCCACUAACGAAAUUGGUCUGAAAUCACUCAAUUGUUGUGAAUUGUCGAUUUUCGGGAUGAGACAGAUGAACGGCGUGUUUGACCUCCUUGCCUAUAUUCCUCUAAAUGCAAAUUCAUUCACUGCCGAGAGGAUAUCCUCCUUUAAACAUUCCCAAUAGAACUUAAUGAAACCAAAGUUGAAACCAUCUGGGCCAGGGCUUUUCGAGCUGUCACAACUCCAAACUGCAUCCGUAACUUCCUCUUCAGAAAACGCACCUACUAGCAUCUCGUUGUCGUCGCUAGAAAUUCUAUUAAAACCUAUAUUAUUCAAUCUGACCUGCGGCCCAACAUUCCCAUCAAAUCUGGCUUUGUAAAAAUCUCUGACCUUAUUUUUAACCACAUCCUUGUCUUCGCACCAAAGACCAUUCUCAAAGACCCUGUUAAUCCCAUUUCUCGCUCUUCUCCACUUAACUACCGAAUGAAAGAAUUUUGAAUUUAAAUCGCCUUGUUUUAACCACUUUUGGCGGGCUUUUGACUAAAUGUAACAAAACAUUUUUUGCAUAUGCUGCUAAGCAAGCCCAUUAUCAAUCAGGUUCAAGUGAGUUGACAAGCCUUCCAGCAGCUUCAGAAUGGAAGCCCUGACCAAGAUUCCUGCAUCCCCCAAACUCUGUCGAAGUUUGUCUUCAGCUUUUAAGCUGCAUUUCUGAUGAACCAUUAAGGUCCAGUUUUGCAUAUAAUCUGAGCCUUUCUCUAAGGUUUGCAAUCAGAACCGAAAAUGCAUUUUGCAUAACUUCUGAGCUGCACUCUCGAUCAGUUGUGAUACCACAAGUCCUAUACAUAUGUGCAUUGUGUUGCCUAUGUAGUUUGCUACACAGCUCUCCGAAACACAGGUGCUAUCUAAAUAGCACAGACCUCCACCAGACACUCAUAAAGCUGCGAUUAAUAAGCUGCAAAAUAGGUUAUCCUUUCCCAAUUUGUCUUUGUGCUCUUGAUCUGCAUAACUUUUUGGCGUUGCAACCUGCAUAACAAAGAUAGUGUAUAUAUAGUUUUAAAGACUACCUAGAAAUUGAAUUUGAAGGAAAAGACUGUUAAUAGGAUGGAGGGCAUAUACAUGAAAUAUCAUGUGGUUCUGUCUUCAAGGCCUCUAUCAAGGAUAAAGUGGUGUAGACAUGUGUAACUCCACCACCUUAUCAAACACACGAGAAGUACACAAGUGAUGUUAAACGCUCAUUCAUGCAUUAAUUGGAAUUUCAUAAUGGUGUAAAUAUGUUUGGGACAUGUUUUCUUCAGGUUGAUAAUGCAGCCUAAUGUUUAAGUAAUGUACAGAUGGAAAGUAAUUUCCGACUAUUGAAUUAUAAGGCUACGGAUAGCAAGAGAUUUUAGACCAUAAUAUUUUAGAGGUUUAGAUCAUACGUCCGUUUUAUUUCAAGUGGAUUCACUUGAGAAGGUGGGGCCCAUACUCUCCACUGUAACAUGUUACAUUAUUCAUCCUUGAGAAAGUCCUACAAGGCAACAACACAUGCCCCUGUCUCACUGUUGGUCCCGUGAAUCAUAUCUCAUCGCUCUUUCACUCAACUAUUUAUGUGGACAACAAUUAUACACUGUUCUUUCAUCUCUAUAUAUAUCUGCAACUCUACAAGCCUUUAACACAACAAAAAUCAUUCACUUCCCAAAAGUAUUUGAAGUUCAUAAACUUGCAUCUUACAGAAUCAUUUUUCAUAACUUUUUUUCCGAAGUCUCAACACAUACAACAAUGGGGUUUCGUUUACCUGGUAUGAGAAAGACAUCAUUUGCUACAAACCAAGCAUCUUCGAAGGGCAUGGAUGUGGCAAAGGGCUACCUUGCAGUCUAUGUAGGAGAGAAAAUGAAGAGGUUGAACCAACCAUCAUUUCAAAACUUGUUGAGUCAAGCUGUGGAAGAAUUUGGGUAUGAUCACCCAAUGGGUGGUCUCACAAUUCCUUGCGGAGAAGAUUUGUUCUUGGAUAUCACUUCUCGCUUGAUGAGGUGCUAGUCCAUAUAGAUGACAUAGAUGUAUAUGUACAGACACAAUUUUUGUAGCAUAGUUUCUUACUCAAUUUAUUCUAUAUUGGGACAGUACAAAAAAUGUUAUCAGAAAUUUCCUACAAGACGAGUUUUCUCACAUAUUUCUUCCAUCUGUCAUACUGAUCUACGUAGUUGUUGAAUAUGAAAUUAGCUACUCGUCUCUCUAACCAAAUAAUUCUUAAUGUAUCCGAUUAAAAUUCAGCUAUUAUCUCUACAUUUUGUAACUUAGUUCAAUAUAAAAAAUAACUACAUUAUGAGAGAGAGGAAAAGGAGAUAACUUUAAAACAAGAUCACGGAUGCAAUAGAGAAAUAGAGAAAAAAACUCAUCGAAAUUUAAGCCUUUAUGAACCUGAAGUGGUUUUCAUCUUGCUUAAAGAUUUUUGUGAAACAUCCAUGGUCACUGAAAAUCCGAAAUAUGGCGUGACACGAGUUCAAAUCCAUUCAUAGAAGUCUCUGUGAUUCACAUAUGAGGGAGGACCUAAUUCUUUAUUAUAAACAAGUCUUCAUAUAUGUGUGUUAAGCGCCAACACCAUCUUUGCUUAAUCAUGUUAGAUGGUUUUACGGCCACAACAGGUUAUUGUAAUGACGAGUUCUCCAUUGAUUGAAUAUUCUUCAAACCUUGAACUAUUAUAAGUAGUAUCUUACUCCUGAAAUGGGGGAUAAUUGCCCCAGUUUGUAAUCUGGGAUCUUAAGAUGAUGGAAGCAUAAGCAACUGCCCUGCUUUUUUAUUGGGUAAAAUUGAGAAAAGAAAAUGGAAUAAAAAGUGAAGUUUUCCCCAAUGAGGAUUUUAAGAGGGUGGAAUAACAUGGUGAUGGAUGGGAUGAAGUAAUUUCUCCAUUUUCUUCUUUCUUCUGUAAUGUUUGUUUAACAAUUCAAAAAAAAAAAAAUAAACAAUAUCAUCCUCUUACAAAAUGGAAACUGUGUAUGUAGAAUCUAUAUACAGAUAAAAGAAACCAUACCUCAAAAUCAUAUGUAAUUUUUAUAAUCCUAUCCAUUAAAAUGAAUGCGAAGAACACAACUUAACACAACUUAACUUGAAGUCCAUUAAACUGUCUUGCUAGGCAAAAACCACUAGUGUGUAUAAAACACUUAAAAAACUUUCAAAUCCAUUCUAAAAAGAUUGAUUCUUGUCCUCAGCACUAUAAAAGUACUAAUAUCUCCACCCCCUCCCUGCCUUCCCCUGAUCGCGAAGCACUGGUUUUCUUAUGCUGUGGAACUUAAGAAAAUAUAUAGUCGAUUUCUAGUGUUGUAUACCAUUCCAACUACUGGAGAAGUAAACAUUGAAAGAUGUAAAUAGAAAGACUUAGCAUUUGAAUUCGUUAUCAUUACUCAAAAUUUGGUAAUAAUAGUUACAAGUUCGAGAAGAUGCCCAUUGUACAAAAAUGUCUCUAAUAAUCUAUGUUAGUCUCCUAAAGUGAGAUCUAUUGUCCCUUGAAACAAGAAACUGUAUGUUGGAAGACAUCCUCACUGCAAGGAAUUGUGAGGCCACCCAUGGGAUGAUCAUAUCCAAACUCUUCCUCAGCUUGACUCAGUAAGUCUUGGAAUGAAGGUUGGUUCAAGUAUGAGAUGGAAAUCACAAACCGUUUUUGUUUCUCUCCAACAUACACGACAAAAUAGCCCUUCGGUAUGUCCUCAGAUUUUGAAGUUGCUUGUCUUGCUGUCAAUGAUGCCCUUCGGAUGGCAGGUAAACGGAAACCCAUUUUUUGAGCUAGUUUGAAGGAUGAAGAGAAAUCUCAAAUUUACAAAGAGUGAACCCAAAUUUUUAUGCUUGUCGAAGGCUUGUGUUGUUUUUGAAGGUAUAGGAUAGUGUAUAUAUAGCUGUGAAAAGAAGGAGGGCAUACAGAUGAGAUAUCACGUGGUGUUGUCUUCAAUACUUCUAUGAAGCAUAAUGAAGGGUACAGGAGUGUAACCCCACCUUGUUGAACAACAGGCAACAUUAAGCCUCCACAUGUACCCAAUGAAACGUGGCUAAGUGAAGACCUAAAUUUCUUCAUGCAUUAAUUGGUAUUACAUAUUUUGCAAAACAUGCUUUGGACAUGUUUUCUUCACUUCACCUAAUGUUGAAGAACAGCUGGAUAGAUGAAAUUAUAAGGAAAUGGACAGCGAGAGAUGAUAGACCAUUAUAUUCAUGAGAUUUGAAAUCAUAAGUCUAAUCUAUUUCAGGUGAAUUGGCUUGAGAUAGUGUACUAUCGACUGUAACAUCUCCCAUUCAAGUAGCCGACGAUAUCCUACAAAAAAUUUCAUCUAUAUAUAUAUUCUAGGCUGCAAGCCUUUGGGACAACAAAAAUCAUUUCCUAAACCAUUUUAACUUCACAAACUAGCAUCUUAUUUGCAACUCUCUUUUCUCAACUUUCUCUUCCCAAGUAUCAACAUAUAAAACAUGGGUUUUCAUUUACGUGGUAUCAAAAAGGCAUCCCUUCCUGCAAUCCAAGCAUUUUCAAAAGUUGUGAACGUGCCAAAGGGUUACAUUGCAGUCUAUGUUGGGGAUAAAUUGAAGCGCUUCAUGAUUCCUGUAUCCUACUUAAACCAACCUUCAUUUCAAGAUUUGUUGAGUCAAGCUGAGGAAGAAUUUGGGUAUGACCAUCCAAUGGGUGGUCUCACAAUUCCUUGUGGAGAGGAUGUGUUCUUAGAUAUCACUUCUCGUUUCAAUAGGUGCUAAUUGCAUGAAGAUGAAACUGACUUAGAUGUAGACUAUACUUGACACAUUUUUGUAUCUUAGUUUCUUACCUUGAAAAUAUCCCCUCUCUAUUUUUCUUAUCUUGUUUAGGCAAGUGUAAAAAAUAUUAAUCUGAAUGAGAAGAUUUCUACACAAUGUUUUUUCUCACAUUUUUUGUGAAUCUGACCUAUAUAAUUACUGAAUAAGAAAUUUGUUAAAAAUCUUAUCUGUAUCACAUUUUCGCUUCAUCUAUCAUGAGUGAUGUAACAGAGAAAUAAAACGAAGCAUUCAUGAAAAUUAUAAGCUUUUGUUAACCUGAACUGCUUUGGUUCACCUGGCUCCAAGUGCUAUGCGAACAUCUCUGGUCACUUGAAUAUUUCCUGACAUGAGAUCAUAUUUCAUUCAUAAAAUUCUUUCACCCACCUAUGAAGGAGGCCUCAUUAAGCAGCAUCUCACCAUGUUUUCAUGAUGGAGUUUGUUAGUUUUACUUGAAGCAGUUGAAGAAAUUUUAAUCACCUUGUUUUGGAUGAAAACAGAGAUUAAAAAUCUUAAUCCUGGAACGGGGGAUAAAGUGACUGCCCUAUUUUAUAUAAUAGAUAUAUAUGUUAUCCACUGAAAUUAAUAGGAACAACAAAACUUCAUUUGAAGUCCAUUAUAACUGCCAUGGCUGGGGCAAAAUCUCACGUAUGAUUGGAACCAUGAAUUUUAAUUUAACACGUGUGAAUAAAACUUCAAAAAUAUAUUUAAAUUCGUCCCUCACAAAUUGAUGCUUUUCGUUUACCAUAGCAAAACACUCUUACUCUGCCCUGGGCUGACUGUGCAGAUCUUGGUUUUCUAGGCUGACGAAUUUGUGAGAACAAAAGUCUUUUUUGUGGAACAUAAUAAAUGUGGCUCUUAAAUGAUUUUAUGAGCAGUUACUAGAAAUAUUAAAUCAAUAAUUAAAACAUAAUUAAAACAACAGAGGAAUAAUAAAAUAUCACGUGUGCAUUUAUAUGCAGUUAAAAAACACAAUAUCCAACACUCUCCUUGAUUUUUUGAACUGCAAAUUCCAAUCUUCGGUCUUGAGAACUCAAACUUGUUGGCUGGGAGUGGCUUGAUAAACAAAUCUGUAAUUUUUUUUUUCAUCAUCGCUUUGCUUAAUCUCCAUUCAACACCUUUUGAUUUGACAUAAGGUGCAAAUUCUAAAAGACUUUUGUUAAAGUCUAAGCUGAUAAGAUAAUCAUCAAUUCGGUUAUACCAUGUUCUGGGAACAUCUUUUAAGCUAUAAAUAGCUUUAGAUAACUUAUAAACUUUGUCUUCUUUUCCUUCCACAAUGAAACCUUUAGGUUGCUCAACAGAAAUUUCUUCUUCAAUAAAUCCAUUAAGGAAUGUUGACUUGACAUCCAUUUGAUGUACCUUUCUAUCUCGAGGUAUGUCAACAAGCUCCCGAAUUUUGUUCUUCUCAAUCAUAUACACAUCUUUCUCCAUUGUCUUUUUCAACUUUGGGUCAUUGAUAACUUCUUUGUGAUCAGCACAAGUUCUUUGUGAUCAGCACAAGUUCUUUGUGAUCAGCAGGUUCACAUACUGCAACGUUACAUUUAUGAUAUAUGUCAGAGAAUGAUCGAUUGCCUUUAAUUGGUGGAUCAUCUUCCAUUUCAGAUUUUUGCAUCUUGAGAAGCCAUUGACUAGUCAGCUCCUCUUGAAAUAGAUCUAAUGAGAAACUUUUGCCUCUCAUUUGUACCUUGAACAAAUCUUGCCCUGUAGCAUCCUUGAUCAAACAAUAGUUAUCUUCAAAAAACAUUGGUUCCUAUUCCUUUUAUUGAAAUGUGACCCCCAUGACCUAUCUUGACCUUUGAAAUUUUUGAAGGCUUCAACUCAUUGAAUUUUUUUUUGUCAUAAGUCAUGUGAUUUGUGCAUCCACUAUCAAUUAGCCAAGAUGCACUUGAAAUAUUGCUGGAGAAACCAGUUGCAAAGAAAAGUACAUCCUCCUCCUCAUUUGCAAAUUGAGCAUCUACAUCUACGUCUUGUGCUCACUUUGGUUUCCAUCUUGUUGCUCACUUUGGUUUCUACAAAUGACUGCUUUUGAUUGCACUUGUUGCACUUAGCAUCAGGUCUUCUCCAGGACUUAAAUGGUGGAUGACCUAACUUGUUGCAAAUUGCAAUGCUUACAAGGAGGGUAAUUUCUCCUUUUGUUGUUAUUGUGUGCAGCAACUUCUCCAUUUGCUGGUUAUGCUUGAUUUUUUUUGUUUCUCCAGCCACCUUCAUGUUUGGCUGUUAAGGCUCCUUCUAUUGCUCCAUCUUUUCUCAUGACUUUUCUUUGUUCUUGUGCUUGUAAAGCAUUUAAGAGCUCUGCAAGAGAAAUUUUUGAUAGGUCCUUUGUGUUCUCUAGGGUUGUUACGGUGGCUUCAAACUUCUCUAGAACAGUUACAAGCAGUUUUUUCACAAUUCUUGAAUCUUUUAACACAAAUCCAAGCAACCUCACUUUGUUGGCAAUGCUUAGAAGUCUCUCAGGGUACUCUUUUACGGAUUCUGACUCCUUCAUUAUCUGCAUUUCAAACUCCCUGAUUAGAUUCAACACUUGCAUUCCACGAAUCCUCUCAUCGCCUUCAUAUUCUUCCUUGAGGCAAUCCCAUAUUUCUUUUGCUAACUUCAAAGACAUUAUCCUUGUGAAUACCAUAGGAGAUACAACUGCAAAUAGACAUGCUUUUUCCUUUGAUCUUUUCAUCUUCUUUUUCUUCUGUGAUUUUAUUUGUGCCACAGUAGGGUUUUCUGGAAGGGACUAAAUUUCAUAAAUCAAAUGCUUCUAGGUAGGUCUCCAUACGAACAACCCAUAUUUGAUAAUUGUCUCUAUGAAAGACAGGUGGUGUCAUUGCUGAAAAAUUGGAACCUCCUUCCAUUGAUGCCCCCUACUAACCUUGGUUUUUUUAGAAUAAAUCAGAUGAAGAUAUUUUUAUUAUUUUUGCUAACAAUUACAUUUAUAGUACUUGCAGUAACUAACUCUUAAAUGAUUUUAUGAACACUUACCUAGAAAUAUUAAAUCAACAAUUAAAACAGAAGAAUAUAAUAUCACGUGCACUUAUGUGCAUUUAUAUGCAAUUAGAAAACACAAUAUCCAAUAUCCAACAGAAUGUCAGUAUCCUAAAGUGUGAGAUUUAUUGUCCAUUCAAGCAGGAAGUUAUAUGUUCAAAGACAUCUUCAGUACAAGGAAUUGUGAGGCCACUAUGGGAUGAUCUAUCCAAACUCUUCCUCAGCUUGACUCAAUAAAUAUUAGAGGGAAGGUUGGUUCAAAUAUGAUAUGAAAAGAACAAACAGCUUCUGUUUCUCUCCAGCAUACACUGCAAGAUAUUGGUUUGCAACUUUUACAGAUUUUGAAGCUGCAUGCCUACCUGUGGGAUGACUGUCAAUAGCAAGUAAGCGGAAACACAAUUUUUGUGCUUGUUAUGAGAAGAAAGAAGAACAAUAUGAGAUUAACAUUGAAUGGACCUAAAAUUUCAUGUUUGUGGAUGACAAUAAAGAUAGUGUAUAUAUAGUUUUAAAGACUCCCUGGAAACUGAAUUUGAAGGAAAAUGUAGAUUUUUUAGGAACAAAGGCAAUAGUUAACAGAGAAGAAAAUGGAGAGUAUGCAAAUCUGAUUAAAGACUGGGAUUGCUAACUGCUGCAAACUAUUAUUUUAAGGCAACUAAAUUAAAUACACUCAGAUAAUAACAGACUAAGAUAUUAGGUUUCAUGAUUCUAGACACUACAUUGAUCAUGAAAAUAGUUAAUCCACUAACAGCUAAUUCAACAGAAUAAAUUUCACUUAUUCAAGAAUGAAACAAUUCUGACAAGUUCCUGAAUAUAUGAAACACCCAAAGACACGUUCUCAAUAGAAAAGACUGUUAAAAGAUGAAGGGCAUACACAUGAGAUAUCAUGUGGUUCUAUCCUCAAUGUCUUUCUCUAGGAUAAAGUUGUUUAUUCAUGCAUUAAUUGGUAUUUCAUGAUUGUGUACAUAUGCUUGGGACAUGUUUUCUUCAGGUUGAUAAUGCAGCCUAAUGUCUAAGUAAUGUACAGAUGGAAAGUAAUUUCCGACUAUUGAAUUAUAAGGCUACGGAUAGCAAGAGAUUUUAGACCAUAAUAUUUUAGAGGUUUAGAUCAUACGUCCGUUUUAUUUCAAGUGGAUUCACUUGAUAAGGUGGGGCCCACACUCUCCACUGUAACAUGUUACAUUAUUCAUCCUUGAGAAAGUCCUACAAGGCAACAACACAUGCCCCUGUCUCACUGUUGGUCCCGUGAAUCAUAUCUCAUCGCUCUUUCACUCAACUAUUUAUGUGGACAACAAUUACACACUGUUCUUUCAUCUCUAUAUAUAUCUUCAACUCUACAAGCCUUUAACACAACAAAAAUCAUUCACUUCCCAAAAGUAUUUGAAGUUCAUAAACUUGCAUCUUACAGAAUCAUUUUUCAUAACUUUUUUUCCGAAGUCUCAACACAUAUAACAAUGGGGUUUCGUUUACCUGGUAUGAGAAAGACAUCAUUUGCUACCAACCAAGCAUCUUCAAAGGGUAUGGAUGUGGCAAAGGGCUACCUUGCAGUCUAUGUAGGAGAGAAAAUGAAGCGGUUUGUAAUCCCUGUAUCAUACUUGAACCAACCAUCAUUUCAAAACUUGUUGAGUCAAGCUGUGGAAGAAUUUGGGUAUGAUCACCCAAUGGGUGGUCUCACAAUUCCUUGCAGAGAAGAUUUGUUUUUGGAUAUCACUUCUCGCUUGAUAGGUGUUAAUCCAUAUAGAUGACAGAGAUGUAAAUGUAUAGACACAAUUUUUGUAGCAUAGUUUCUUACUUUGACAAUAUUCUCUGUCCAUUUUUAUUCUAUAUUGGGAAAGUACAAAAUUGUUAUCAGAAAUUUCCUACAAGACGAGUUUUCUCACAUAUUUCUUCAUCUGUCAUUCUGAUCUACCUAGUUGUCGAAUAAGAAAUUAGCUACUCGUCUCUAACCAAAUAAUUCUUAAUGUAUCCGAUUAAAAUUCAGCUAUUAUCUCUACAUUUUGUAACUUAGUUCAAUAAAAAAAUAACUGCGUUAUAACCGAGAGGAAAAUAAGAUAAGUUUAAAACAAGAUCAUGGAUCCAAUAGACAAAUAGAAAAACUCAUCGAAAUUUAAGCCUUGAUGAAUCUGAAGUGCUUUGAUUUCAUAUUGCUUCAAGAUUUUUGUAAGCCAUCCAUGGUCAAUGAAAAUCUAAAAUAUUGCUUGACACGAGAUCAAAUCCAUCCAUAAAAGUCUCUGUGAUUCACAUAUGAGGGAGGACCUAAUUCUUUAUGAUAAACAAGUCUUCACAUAUGUGUGUCAAGUGCCAACACCAUCUUCGCUUGAUCGUGUUAGUUGGUUUUAGGGCCACAACAGGUUAUGGUAGUGAACUAUUUUAAGAGAUUACCAUCUAUUUGGGAAGAAAAUAGAAAUUAGGUAUCUUACUGUGAGGAGUUAAGUUUUUUUUAGAAGAGUGUAUUAUUCUGAAUACAUAAAUGAAGGUGUAUCAGCUUCUACAUGAUGUAGAAGCUUAAGUACCAUACUCCUGGUAUAGGGGAUUAUUGACCCAGUUCGUAAUGUGGGAUCUCAAGAUGAUGCAAGGACAAGCAAUUGCCCUCCUUUUUUUAUUGGGUUGAAUUGAGAAAGGACAUAGGAAUAAAAAGUGAGGUUAUCUCCAAUGAGGAAUUUAAAGUGUGUGGAAUCACCUGGUGAUUGAUGGGAUGAAGUAAUUUCUCCCUUUUCUUUCUUUCUUUAUUUUGUAAUGUUUGUUUAACAAUUCAAACAAUCUAAUCCUCUUAAAGAAUGGAAACUGUAUUCGUAGAAUCUACAUAUAGAUAAAAAGAAACCUUGCAUCAAAUGCAUAUGAAAUUUUUAUAAGAAGGAUCUUAUCCAUUGAAAUGAAUGGGAACAACACAACUUAAUUUUAAGUUCAUUAUAACAUUUCAAACCAUUCUAAAGAAGUUGAUGCUUCUCCUCGGCACUAUAAAAAUACUAAUAUCUCCACCCUUCCCCACCUUGCCCUGAUUGUGAAGCAGAUGGUUUUCUUAUGCUGCGGAACUUAUGAGAAUAGUGGAGUCUUUUUAGUGGUUUAUACCAUUCCCAUUGCUGGGAGAAGUAAACAUUGAAAUAGAUCUCUUAUAAAGACUUAGCAUUUGAAUUCGUUAUCAUUACUCAAAAAUUUAGUAAUAAUAGUUACAAGAUCGAGAAGAUGCCCAUUGUACAAAAAUGUCUCUAAUAAUCUAUGUUAGACUCCUAAAGUGAGAUCUAUUGUCCCUUGAAGCAAGAAAUUGUAUGUUGGAAAACAUCUUCACUGCAAGGAAUUGUGAGGCCACCCAUCGGAUGAUCAUGUCCAAACUCUUCCUCAGCUUGACUCAAUAAGUCUUGGAAUGAAGGUUGGUUCAAGUAUGAAAUGGAAAUCACAAACCGUUUUUGUUUCUCUCCAACAUACACAGCAAAAUAGCCCUUCGGUAUGUCUUCAGAUUUUGAAGAUGCUUGUCUUGCUGUCACUGAUGCCCGUCGGAUGGAAGGUAAACGGAAACCCAUUUUUUGAGUUUGUUUGAAGAAAGAAGAACAAUCUCAAAUUUACAGAGAAUGAACCUAAAUUUUGAUGCUUGAGGAUUACAAAGGCUUGUGUUGUUUUUGAAGGUAUAGGAUAGUGUAUAUAUAGCUGUUAAAAGAAGGAGGGCAUAGAGAUGAGAUAUCACGUGGUGAUGUUUUCAGUAUUUCUAUAAAGCAUAAAGAAGGGUACAGGAGUGUAACCCCACCUUGUUCAACAACAGGCAACAUUAAGCCUCCACAUGUACCCAAUGAAACGUGGCUAAGUGAAGGCCUAAAUUUCUUCAUGCAUUAAUUGGUAUUACAUAUUUUGCAAAACAUGCUUUGGACAUGUUUUCUUCACUUCACCUAAUGUUGAAGAACAGCUGGAUAGAUGAAAUUAUAAGGAAAUGGACAGCGAGAGAUGAUAGACCAUUAUAUUCAUGAGAUUUGAAAUCAUAAGUCUAAUCUAUUUCAGGUGAAUUGGCUUGAGAUAGUGUACUAUCGACUGUAACAUCUCCCAUUACUCCCUAAGAAACACAUUCAAGGCAACACCAUGUGCCCUUUCUGUUCUAUCGGUCCCAUGACUCUUAUCACAUAGCCCUUCACUCUCAAUCAUUCAAGUAGCCGACGAUAUCCUACAAAAACUUUCAUCUAUAUAUAUAUUCUAGGCUGCAAGCGUUUGGGACAACAAAAAUCAUUUCCUAAACCAUUUUAACUUCACAAACUAUCAUCUUAUUUGCAACUCUCUUUUCUCAACUUUCUCUUCCCAAGUAUCAACAUAUAAAACAUGGGUUUUCAUUUACGUGGUAUCAGAAAGGCAUCCCUUCCUGCAAUCCAAGCCUUUUCAAAAGUUGUGAACGUGCCAAAGGGUUACAUUGCAGUUUAUGUUGGAGAUAAAAUGAAGCGGUUCAUCAUUCCUGUAUCAUACUUGAACCAACCUUCAUUUCAAGAUUUGUUGAGUCAAGCUGAGGAAGAAUUUGGGUAUGAACAUCCAAUGGGUGGUCUCACUAUUCCUUGUGGAGAAGAUGUGUUCUUAGAUAUAACUUCUCGUUUCAAUAGGUGCUAAUUGCGUGAAGAUGAGACUGACUUAGAUGUAGACUAUACUUGACACAGUUUUGUAUCGUAGUUUUAGCCUUGAAAAUAUCCCCUCUUGCCAUUUUUGUUAUUUGUUUAGACAAGUGUAAAAGAAUGUUAAUCUGAAUGAGAAGUUUUCUACAUGAUGUUUCUUAGCACAUUUUCUAUAAAUCUGAUUUAUAUAUCACAUUUUCUCUUUAUCUAUCGAUAAGAUUUAAAUUAAACUAUUAACUCCACAUUUUAUAACAAAAUUAAUUAAAAAAACUACUUAGAAGAGAUAAGAAGAUAAGUUUAAAACAAAACGAGUGAUGUAACAGCAGAGAAAUAAAGCUAAGCAUAUGGCUGACUAAUUCAAUAGUAGUUGGGGUGAGGAGGUUGAGAGAGAUUUGUGUGUAACGUGUGGGGAGCUAACCGAAACAGUGAGCCACUUAUUAUUUAGUUGUAAGUAUGCAAUUCAAGUAUGGAAUUUGUGUAAUAAGUGGGUUGGGAUAACCUCUGUUUCGCAAAAUAUAUUAUAAAUUUGUCCGUCAUAAAUUGAUGCUUUUCGUUGACCAUAGCAAAACAUUUUUCUUUAGCUGUAGGGUGGCUGGUAGGAUCUGGCAAGGGUAGGAAGAUUCUCAGUUUAUCAUAAUAGGGCUUAUGUACACUUUAACCAAUAUGAAAUUAUUGGUAUGAACAACACUGUUAAUAAGAUUUGGAGGAACAUGUGGAUGGCUAUUGUUUGGAGGAUAUGGACUCGUAGAAAUAACAUAAUCUUUAGAGGUGGAAUUUUAGAUUCAGAAGAGGUUUUGCAUUGGCACAGAUCAUGACAUGGGCAUGACAACAGUUGUUUUUCAUAUUCUGAUUGGUGCCUAAAUCCAAUUGGAUGCCUGCAGUCUGUCAAAAAGGGCUAGUCUGUUAAAAAGGGUUGAAAUUAAGUGUUUAGAUAUUGGUACAGGGAUACCUGCAAAUUCUCAGUAAUUGUUACAUCAAUAUACAAGGAGUAAGUCUGCAUGUUAUGACCUUCUAUUUGCUUUGUUUAUGUGUUUCUUUUUAGUGCUCAGGUAUGCAUCUGUAUUGAACACACAGUGCAAAUUAACAUUGGAGUCCACGGGAGAUGAAACAAUUGUUGUUGAAGUUUCUCUCUAACCACAUGACAACCAAUGUCAAUGUGUUUAGUAUGUUUAUGGAAGCUGCUAAUUGUGCUAUAUUUCUUGCAGAUUGACUGUCAUAGAACAGGCUAGCUGCGUUGCAAGGUGCAAUGUGCAGAUCUUCAAGCAAGUAGACGAGCCACUCUAUCUUACUGUAGGUGGAGGCUAAAGCCCGAUACUCCGUUGUAUCUGGAAGUUAUUAAUGACCCAAAGUCGAAAAAGGUAAUGGAGGAAGAGGUGUAUAUGAUUGAGAAGAACAAAACUUGGAAGCUUGUUGACAUACCUCGAGAUUGAAAGGUACAUCAAAUGGAUGUCAAGUCAAUAUUUCUAAAUGGAUUUCUUGAACAAGAAAUUUCAGGUUUCAUUGGGGAAGGAAGAGAAGACAAAGUUUAUAAGUUGUCUAAAACCAUUUAUGGCUUAAAAGAUGUUCCCAGAGCAUGGUAUUAUCUUAUCAGGCUUAGGCUUUGAUAAAAGUCUUUUAAAAGGUGUUGAAUGGAGAUUAAGCAAAGUGAGGAUGAAAAAAAAAAUUGCAUAUUUGUUUACCAAGUCACUUCCAGCCAACAAGUUUGAGUUCUCAAUACAGAAGAUUGAAAUUUGCAGUUCAAAAAAUCAAAGAGGAGUGUUGAAUGUUGUGUUUUUUAACUGCAUAUAAAUGCACAUAAGUGCACGUGAUAUUUUAUUCUUCUGUUUUAAUUAUGUUUUAAUUGCUGAUUUAAUAUUUCUAGGUAUCUGGUCAUAAAAUCAUUUAAGAGUCAGUACUCCAGAUACUGUAAAUGUAAUUGUUAGCACAGAUAAUAAAAUAUCUUCCUCUAAUUUAUUCUUAAAAAAAACCAACAAUCUCAUCCUCUUACAAAAUGGAAACUGUGAUUUGUAGAAUCUAUAUAUGGACAAAAGAAACCUUACAUCAACUGCAUAUGAAAUUUUUAUAACAAAGGAUCUUAUCCAUUGAAAUCAAUGGGUACAACACGGCUUAAUUUUAAGCAUAUUAUAACUGUCUCGGCUGGGGAAAAAUCCGCUAGUGUAAAAAACUAAAAAACCUUUCAAACCCGUUAUGAGUAUAGUGGAGUCUUUUAGGUGUUGUAUACCAUUCCAAUUGCUGGGAGUAGUAAACAUUGAAAUACAUAAAUAGAAAGACUUAGCAUUUGAAUUCGUUAUCAUUACUCAAAAAAUUGGUAAUAAUAGUUACAAGUUCGAGAAGAUGCCUAUUGUACAAAAAUGUCUCUAAUAAUCUAUGUCAGUCUCCUAAAGUGAGAUCUAUUGUCCCUUGAAGCAAGAAAUUGUAUGUUGGAAGACAUCUUCACUACAAGGAAUUGUGAGGCCACCCAUGGGAUGAUCAUAUCCAAACUCUUCCUCCGCUUGACUCAGUAAGUCCUGGAAUGAAGGUUGGUUCAAGUAUGAGAUGGGAAUUACAAACCGAUUUUGUUUCUCUCCAACAUACACGGCAAAAUAGCCCUUUGGUAUGUCUUCAGAUUUUGAAGUUGCUUGUCUUGCUGUGAAUGAUGCCCGUCGGAUGGCAGGUAAACGGAAACCCAUUUUUUGAGUUUGUUUGAAGGAAGAAGAACAAUCUCAAAUUUACAGAGAAUGAACCUAAAUUUUGAUACUUGAGGAUUACAAAGGCUUGUGUUGUUUUUGAAGGUAUAUAGGAUAGUGUAUAUAUAGCUGUUAGAAGAAGGAGAGCAUACAGAUGAGAUAUCGCGUGGUGUUGUCUUCAGUACUUCUAUCAAGCAUAAAGAAGGGUACAAGUGUGUAACCCCACCUUGUUGAACAACGAACAACAUUAAGCCUCCACAUGCACCCAAUGAGAUGUGGCUAAAUGAAGGCCUAAGUCUCUUCAUGCAUUAAUUGGUAUUACAUAUUUUGUAAAACAUGUUUUGGACAUGUUUUCUUCACACUACCUAAAAUUGAAGAACAGCUGGAUAGAUGAAAUUAUAAGGCAAUGGACAGCGAGAGAUGAUAGACCAUUAUAUUCAUGAGAUUUGAAAUCAUACGUCUAAUCUAUUUCAGGUGAAUUGGCUUGGGAUAGUGUACUAUCGACUGUAACAUCUCAUAUUAAUCCCUAAGAAACACUUCCAAGACAACACCAUGUGCCCUUUCUGUCUUAUCGAUCCCAUGACUCUUAUCUCAUAGCCUUCCACCCUCAAUCAUUCAAGUAGCCGAUGAUAUCCUACAAAACAUUUCAUCUAUAUAUAUUCAAGGCUCUAAGCCUUUGGGACAACAAAAAUCAUUUCCUAAACCAUUUUAACUUCUCAAACUUGCAUCUUAUUUGCAGUUCUCUUUUCUCAAUUUUCUCUUCCCAAGUAUCAACAUAUAAAACAUGGGUUUUCAUUUACGUGGUAUCAGAAAGGCAUCCCUUCCUGCAAUCCAAGCCUUUUCAAAAGUUGUGAACGUGCCAAAGGGUUACAUUGCAGUCUAUGUUGGAGAUAAAAUGAAGCGGUUCAUGAUCCCUGUAUCAUACUUGAACCAACCUUCAUUUCAAGAUUUGUUGAGUCAAGCUGAGGAAGAAUUUGGGUAUGACCAUCCAAUGGGUGGUCUCACUAUUCCUUGUGGAGAAGAUGUGUUCUUAGAUAUCACUUCUCGUUUCAAUAGGUGCUAGUUGCAUGAAGAGACUGACUUAGAUGUAGACUCUACUUGACACAUUUUUGUAUCUUAGUUUCUGACCAUCAAAAUAUCUCCUCUCUCUCAAUUUUUGUUAUCUUGUUUAGGCAAGUGUAAAAAAAUGUUAAUCUGAAUGAGAAGUUUUCUACACGAUGUUUCUUCCCAAAUGUUCUAUGAAUCUGAUCUACAUAUCCCAUUUUCUCUUUUUCUAUCAAUCAGAUUUAAAUUAAACUAUUAACUCCACAUUUUCUU
rnacentral:lncRNA from 1 species